GAUCCUAGCUUGGAGAUGGAGAGAUUAAGCUCUUUGAACCUCCAAGCACUCAAAACUUGCUCAAAGCUCACAAAUCUUCAAAACAAAGUUAUAAACUUGUUAAAACCAUGAAAGAUCUAGAGGAAACACUCAAGAUCGAGGGAGGAACGGUGGAGACUCACCUUGGCCGACAAUGGGAGAGAAAGAGCUCGCCCGUGCGGACCAAGGGGACCCUUUUAUAGUGGCUGGCCAGGCCACGUUCGGGGGCCGAAUGUGCCUCCGCAUCCAUGCAAUGUUCGGCGGCCGAACAUAAGGUUCGGCGGCCGAACCUGCACUUCCCUCACUUAGACUUUCGGGGGCCUAACGUGCCUCCCAAAGUCCAUGCAUGUUCGGCGGCCGAAAGUGAGUUUCGGCGGCCGAACCUGGGUUUUUCCUUAGAGAAUUUUCAUGCAAAAACUUAUUUAAAAUCAUACUUAAAACAUUAAAAUACAUGAAAACAUUUUAUAAAAACAUGCUUUUACCCUUCUAGAGGUUUCCGACACCCAAAUUCCACCGGACGGUAGGAAUUCCGAUACCGGAGUCUAGCCGGGUAUUACACCG
rnacentral:lncRNA from 1 species